UCACAUAAUAUGAAUCGCUCUGUAAUUGGUUUGUUUACGACUGAAUAUUCUUACAUCUCAGGUAACUCUGAACAUUGCAUCUGGAACCAGCAACUCUUGGAAUAUAACAUGUAUUAAUUAGACCUUAAAAUGAAGAAAUUGCAGGAGAUAAAGUUUACGAUUGCGAUCGUAACAUUUGUGCAUCUAAUUUCGUCGAAGACAGUAUUGAGUCAAAAUGGAAACUUCACUUGUGUGACAUCAGGAAGAUUCCCAAAUGCAGAAGAUUGCUCUAAAUAUUAUUUUUGUGUACUAACGUCUGGCACAAUGUAUCUCCAAAAUAUGACAUGUCCUAAUAACCUACUCUUUGACUCUAUAUCUCAAUACUGUACAAAUCCCGCUAAUGCUACUUGUGGAUCUACACCUACACCGAUUCCAACUACUCCGACGCCUAACUCGUGCGUAGGACCUGGAUUCUUCUGCAACUCCGACACAACAUAUACAUAUUGCGCAGACGUAAAUGUACCUAUCCUACCAGGCAACAUAAAUUGUCCGUCGGGUUAUUUCUGCAAUCCAAAGUGCUCAUCUCCAUGCUUAAAUCAAAUUGCCCUUUGUUGAUGUGGAUUAUCUUCAUUAUCCACCUUCAUAUAAACAUUAUCUAAUGGUGACUUGCCACACCCGUAGACACAUUAGGCUCUAUCCUUGUACGAUUAAAUAAAGUUUAAGUCUACCGAAAACUA